GAUGAACGCUGGCGGCGUGCCUAAUACAUGCAAGUCGAGCGAACGGACGAGAAGCUUGCUUCUCUGAUGUUAGCGGCGGACGGGUGAGUAACACGUGGAUAACCUACCUAUAAGACUGGGAUAACUUCGGGAAACCGGAGCUAAUACCGGAUGAUAUUUUGAACCGCAUGGUUCAAAAGUGAAAGACGGUCUUGCUGUCACUUAUAGAUGGAUCCGCGCUGCAUUAGCUAGUUGGUAAGGUAACGGCUUACCAAGGCAACGAUGCAUAGCCGACCUGAGAGGGUGAUCGGCCGCACUGGAGCGGAGACACGGUCCAGGCUCCUACGGGAGGCAGCAGUAGGGAAUCUUCCGCAAUGGGCGAAAGCCUGACGGAGCAACGCCGCGUGAGUGAUGAAGGUCUUCCGAUCGUAAAACUCUGUUAUUAGGGAAGAACAUAUGUGUAAGUAACUGUGCACAUCUUGACGGUACCUAAUCAGAAAGCCACGGCUAACUACGUG
rnacentral:rRNA from 1 species